UGGGGAAUAUUGCACAAUGGGCGCAAGCCUGAUGCAGCCAUGCCGCGUGUGUGAAGAAGGCCUCCGGGUUGUAAAGCACUUUCAGCGGGGAGGAAGGCGAUAAGGUUAAUAACCUUGUCGAUUGACGUUACCCGCAGAAGAAGCACCGGCUAACUCCGUGCCAGCAGCGGCGGUAAUACGGAGGGUGCAAGCGUUAACCGGAAUUACUGGGCGUAAAGCGCACGCAGGCGGUCUGUCAAGUCGGAUGUGAAAUCCCCGGGCUCAACCUGGGGACUGCAUUCGAAACUGGCAGGCUAGAGUCUUGUAGAGGGGGGUAGAAUUCCAGGUGUAGCGGUGAAAUGCGUAGAAAUCUGGAGGGAUACCGGUGGCGAAGGCGGCCCCCUGGACAAAGACUGACGCUCAGGUGCGAAAGCGUGGGGCGCAAACAGG
rnacentral:rRNA from 1 species